CACCUGUUGCUUUGUUUUGUGCCACCUGCCUGCUGUGUUGCCUUUUUUCUGCCACGUUGAGAUGUUUCCUCUCUCUUUAUCUCUUCUCUUCUUUACACAAAGUCUGAGCAUUUUUUGUUUUUACUUCUCUUCUCAUCUUCAUUCUAUUUUAUUUUUUUUACGAUUUUAGUUUGGCUUUGAGGAUGGGUUGGGUAGCCAUGUUCUAUCUCGUCGUCGUUCCUGCACUCAACCGAGUUUCCCUUUCUGUGCUUGGCUUUAGACUAUAAAUUUAGCCUCCGAGUUUAAUUUGGGGUUUGGUUUGGUUUCAACGAUUAUCUGAUCAAGCUUCUCCUAAUCGGCGACUCUUCCGUUGGAAAAUCCUGCUUGCUUCUUAGAUUCGCUGUGAGUCAUCACUUUAUUUGCUUCUCCUAAUCUCUCUUUUUGUUCACUUCCUUUGUUUCUUCGUUUCGUUUCAGGAUGACUCCUAGGUCGACAGCUACGUAAGUACUAUUGGAGUUGAUUUCGUAAUUUUCACUCUUCUUCUCUUUUGUUAUUUCUAUUUAUGGCCCAACACUCAUUUUUAUUUUAUUUUUAGAAAAUCAGAAUCGUGGAGCUAGAAGGGAAAACCGUCGAGCUGCAGAUUAUGAGGUGCCUGUGGCUCAGUGGUAUUUCGCGUUCAAUCGCUUACAAUUGGUCUCGACCCAACAUGAAAAUCGGUGUUAGGAUCAUUCACGCAAGUUCCUCUUACCGGAACGUUCCUAUUCCUCACAAAGGAAGAAGCCCAGGUUUUUUUGUUCACCAGGAAGAAGCGC